CGGGCUGUAGCGCAGCCUGGCUAGCGCGCUACCUUGGGGUGGUAGAGGUCGUGGGUUCAAAUCCCGCCAGCCCGAC
rnacentral:tRNA from 1 species